UUAAGCGACUAAGCGUACACGGUGGAUGCCCUGGCAGUCAGAGGCGAUGAAGGACGUGCUAAUCUGCGAAAAGCGUCGGUAAGGUGAUAUGAACCGUUACAGCCGGCGAUGUCCGAAUGGGGAAACCCAGUGCAAUUCGUUGCACUAUCGUUAACUGAAUACAUAGGUUAACGAGGCGAACCGGGGGAACUGAAACAUCUAAGUACCCCGAGGAAAAGAAAUCAACCGAGAUUCCCCCAGUAGCGGCGAGCGAACGGGGAGCAGCCCAGAGUCUGAAUCAGCUUGUGUGUUAGUGGAACGGUCUGGAAAGUCCGACGGUACAGGGUGAUAGUCCCGUACACCAAAAUGCACAGGUUGUGAACUCGAAGAGUAGGGCGGGACACGUGGUAUCCUGUCUGAAUAUGGGGGGACCAUCCUCCAAGGCUAAAUACUCCUGACUGACCGAUAGUGAACCAGUACCGUGAGGGAAAGGCGAAAAGAACCCCGGCGAGGGGAGUGAAAAAGAACCUGAAACCGUGUACGUACAAGCAGUGGGAGCACCUUCGGGUGUGACUGCGUACCUUUUGUAUAAUGGGUCAGCGACUUAUAUUCUGUAGCAAGGUUAACCGUAUAGGGGAGCCGCAGGGAAACCGAGUCUUAACUGGGCGUUAAGUUGCAGGGUAUAGACCCGAAACCCGGUGAUCUAGCCAUGGGCAGGUUGAAGGUUGGGUAACACUAACUGGAGGACCGAACCGACUAAUGUUGAAAAAUUAGCGGAUGACUUGUGGCUGGGGGUGAAAGGCCAAUCAAACCGGGAGAUAGCUGGUUCUCCCCGAAAGCUAUUUAGGUAGCGCCUCGUGAACUCAUCUUCGGGGGUAGAGCACUGUUUCGGCUAGGGGGUCAUCCCGACUUACCAACCCGAUGCAAACUACGAAUACCGAAGAAUGUUAUCACGGGAGACACACGGCGGGUGCUAACGUCCGUCGUGAAGAGGGAAACAACCCAGACCGCCAGCUAAGGUCCCAAAGUCAUGGUUAAGUGGGAAACGAUGUGGGAAGGCACAGACAGCCAGGAUGUUGGCUUAGAAGCAGCCAUCAUUUAAAGAAAGCGUAAUAGCUCACUGGUCGAGUCGGCCUGCGCGGAAGAUGUAACGGGGCUAAACCAUGCACCGAAGCUGCGGCAGCGACACUAUGUGUUGUUGGGUAGGGGAGCGUUCUGUAAGCCUGCGAAGGUGUGCUGUGAGGCAUGCUGGAGGUAUCAGAAGUGCGAAUGCUGACAUAAGUAACGAUAAAGCGGGUGAAAAGCCCGCUCGCCGGAAGACCAAGGGUUCCUGUCCAACGUUAAUCGGGGCAGGGUGAGUCGACCCCUAAGGCGAGGCCGAAAGGCGUAGUCGAUGGGAAACAGGUUAAUAUUCCUGUACUUGGUGUUACUGCGAAGGGGGGACGGAGAAGGCUAUGUUAGCCGGGCGACGGUUGUCCCGGUUUAAGCAUGUAGGCUGAUUGUCCAGGCAAAUCCGGAUAAUCAAGGCUGAGGUGUGAUGACGAGGCACUACGGUGCUGAAGUAACAAAUGCCCUGCUUCCAGGAAAAGCCUCUAAGCAUCAGGUAACAUCAAAUCGUACCCCAAACCGACACAGGUGGUCAGGUAGAGAAUACCAAGGCGCUUGAGAGAACUCGGGUGAAGGAACUAGGCAAAAUGGUGCCGUAACUUCGGGAGAAGGCACGCUGGUGUGUAGGUGAAGUCCCUGCGGAUGGAGCUGAGACCAGUCGAAGAUACCAGCUGGCUGCAACUGUUUAUUAAAAACACAGCACUGUGCAAACACGAAAGUGGACGUAUACGGUGUGACGCCUGCCCGGUGCCGGAAGGUUAAUUGAUGGGGUUAUCCGUAAGGAGAAGCUCUUGAUCGAAGCCCCGGUAAACGGCGGCCGUAACUAUAACGGUCCUAAGGUAGCGAAAUUCCUUGUCGGGUAAGUUCCGACCUGCACGAAUGGCGUAAUGAUGGCCAGGCUGUCUCCACCCGAGACUCAGUGAAAUUGAACUCGCUGUGAAGAUGCAGUGUACCCGCGGCAAGACGGAAAGACCCCGUGAACCUUUACUAUAGCUUGACACUGAACAUUGAGCCUUGAUGUGUAGGAUAGGUGGGAGGCUUUGAAGCGUGGACGCCAGUCUGCGUGGAGCCAACCUUGAAAUACCACCCUUUAAUGUUUGAUGUUCUAACGUUGGCCCCUGACCGGGGUUGCGGACAGUGUCUGGUGGGUAGUUUGACUGGGGCGGUCUCCUCCCAAAGCGUAACGGAGGAGCACGAAGGUUAGCUAAUCCUGGUCGGACAUCAGGAGGUUAGUGCAAUGGCAUAAGCUAGCUUGACUGCGAGCGUGACGGCGCGAGCAGGUGCGAAAGCAGGUCAUAGUGAUCCGGUGGUUCUGAAUGGAAGGGCCAUCGCUCAACGGAUAAAAGGUACUCCGGGGAUAACAGGCUGAUACCGCCCAAGAGUUCAUAUCGACGGCGGUGUUUGGCACCUCGAUGUCGGCUCAUCACAUCCUGGGGCUGAAGUAGGUCCCAAGGGUAUGGCUGUUCGCCAUUUAAAGUGGUACGCGAGCUGGGUUUAGAACGUCGUGAGACAGUUCGGUCCCUAUCUGCCGUGGGCGCUGGAGAAUUGAGGGGGGCUGCUCCUAGUACGAGAGGACCGGAGUGGACGCAUCACUGGUGUUCGGGUUGUCAUGCCAAUGGCACUGCCCGGUAGCUAAAUGCGGAAGAGAUAAGUGCUGAAAGCAUCUAAGCACGAAACUUGCCCCGAGAUGAGUUCUCCCUGAGACUUUAAGUCUCCUGAAGGAACGUUAAAGACGAUGACGUUGAUAGGCCGGGUGUGUAAGCGCAGCGAUGCGUUGAGCUAACCGGUACUAAUGAACCGUGAGGCUUAACCUU
rnacentral:rRNA from 1 species